rnacentral:lncRNA from 1 species
CUGUCACAACAUUUUCAUCAACUGAUCAACAUGUAACUUUGUUUUUCAUGUUUCUGUUUAAAGACAACUUAUUUAAUCUAUCUUGUUGAUUUAUUAACACUGAACUGACAGUCAACAGUACUAUAACUCAUGCCUGAAUGAAGCUUCUCCAACACACGUAUUUUCUCCAUAAGGUACAUCACAGCCUUCUUGUGCUUAGGAGCCUUCACAGCUUAGGAAUCCCGGACAGUACUUCAGCAGUAUGCUCGGAGACUAAAAAGGAGCACAAAAAUGUAGAAAACAUGGCACUACCUAGACCCUAAAAAGGACGCUUGCUUACAGCACGAGAGUUGAAACAAGAGGCAGCGCACCGCCUUGCUGGACCUCAGCUGGGAGCGUGCAUGUUGGGCGACUCAAGCUUUUCACCACUCUGCAUGUCGGCAAAUGGACACAAAAAUGCUGCAGGUAUUGAUUUUGGGGUUACAAACACAUUUUUAUGAGUAGAUGAAUUUGCAAAUACAGAAUCAG